CGGUUAUGCGCAGUAAUUUCGAUUGCUUAUCAGACAAAGUAAAUCCAUAUUCACUAACAUCCACUCGACCGCCAUAUCGUUAAACUGAGCAACAUAUAUCCAAUCGACCGCCAUAUCGUUAAAUUAAGCAGCUUAUAUCCAAUCGACCGCCACGUCAUUAAACUAAGCAGCUUAUAUCCAAGCGACCGCCACGUAUAUCCAAUCGACCGCCACGUCGUUAAACUGAGCAACAUAUAUCCAAUCGACCGCCAUGUCGUUAAACUUAGCAGCUUAUAUCCAAAUUUGGACAGAGUUCUAAAUUAUAUACUAGAAUUCAAUCAAAUGAUAUCAAAUUUAUUCUAACUCUAACACAUAUACUUAGAGUUCAUCCGACUAACCCUAAUACAUACCCUUAGGGCCCAGUCAAUCUUUUACUCUAG
rnacentral:lncRNA from 1 species